rnacentral:rRNA from 1 species
UCAGUUCGGAUUGUAGUCUGCAACUCGACUACAUGAAGCUGGAAUCGCUAGUAAUCGCGAAUCAGCAUGUCGCGGUGAAUACGUUCCCGGGUCUUGUACACACCGCCCGUCACACCAUGAGAGUCGGAAAUGCCCGAAGCCAGUGACCCAACCAUAAGGAGGGAGCUGUCGAAGGUGGAGCCGGUGACUGGGGUCGAAGUCGUAACAAGGUAGC